rnacentral:rRNA from 1 species
CGCGUAGGUGGUUUGUUAAGUUGAAUGUGAAAUCCCCGGGCUCAACCUGGGAACUGCAUCCAAAACUGGCAAGCUAGAGUAUGGUAGAGGGUGGUGGAAUUUCCUGUGUAGCGGUGAAAUGCGUAGAUAUAGGAAGGAACACCAGUGGCGAAGGCGACCACCUGGACUGAUACUGACACUGAGGUGCGGAAGCGUGGGGAGCAAACAGGAUUAGAUACCCUGGUAGUCCACGCCGUAAACGAUGUCAACUAGCUGUUGGGAGUCUUGAACUCUUAGUGGCGCAGCUAACGCAUUAAGUUGACCGCCUGGGGAGUACGGCCGCAAGGUUAAA